rnacentral:tRNA from 1 species
CCUGGUGGCUUAGACGGUAAAGCGUCUGCCUACAAUGCAGGAGACCCGGGUUCAAUCCUUGGAUCAGGA